UGGGGAAUAUUGCACAAUGGGCGCAAGCCUGAUGCAGCCAUGCCGCGUGUGUGAAGAAGGCCUUCGGGUUGUAAAGCACUUUCAGCGAGGAGGAAGGGUAGUGUGUUAAUAGCACAUUGCAUUGACGUUACUCGCAGAAGAAGCACCGGCUAACUCCGUGCCAGCAGCCGCGGUAAUACGGAGGGUGCAAGCGUUAAUCGGAAUUACUGGGCGUAAAUCGCACGCAGGCGGUUUGUUAAGUCAGAUGUGAAAUCCCCGCGCUUAACGUGGGAACUGCAUUUGAAACUGGCAAGCUAGAGUCUUGUAGAGGGGGGUAGAAUUCCAGGUGUAGCGGUGAAAUGCGUAGAGAUCUGGAGGAAUACCGGU
rnacentral:rRNA from 1 species